GACGAACGCUGGCGGCGUGCCUAAUACAUGCAAGUAGAACGCUGAAGAGAGGAGCUUACUCUUCUUGGAUGAGUUGCGAACGGGUGAGUAACGCGUAGGUAACCUGCCUUGUAGCGGGGGAUAACUAUUGGAAACGAUAGCUAAUACCGCAUAACAAUGGAUGACACAUGUCAUUUAUUUGAAAGGGGCAAUUGCUCCACUACAAGAUGGACCUGCGUUGUAUUAGCUAGUAGGUGAGGUAAUGGCUCACCUAGGCGACGAUACAUAGCCGACCUGAGAGGGUGAGCGGCCACACUGGGACUGAGACACGGCCCAGACUCCUACGGGAGGCAGCAGUAGGGAAUCUUCGGCAAUGGGGGCAACCCUGACCGAGCAACGCCGCGUGAGUGAAGAAGGGUGUCGGAUCGUAAAGCUCUGUUGUAAGUCAAGAACGGGUGUGAGAGUGGAAAGUUCACACUGUGACGGUAGCUUACCAGAAAGGGACGGCUAACUACGUG
rnacentral:rRNA from 1 species